rnacentral:misc_RNA from 1 species
UUUUUCCUUUUUUUUUUUUUUUCUGGUGCAUCUGAUGUAUAUAAUUUUCCCAGUGCAUGAGGGAGUAGCUCUGUGCAUACCUACAGAAAGACCAAAAAAAAAAAGGUUGAACUUUUGCAUGCUAAUAAAAACUAGUACUAAAAGCAAAAAGCACUCCAGUAUUGGUGAACUUGUUAUCAAGUGUAUUCUUCACUACACUGGCUGCAUUAAAGAAAGUAGUGUAUUCUUUGCUCAAAUUCAUGCAGGAUCCACUUGAUAUGUGGAAAGUAAGUUCAAUAUGAAUUUCAGGGA